AUGCUUUGUCUCUCUCUGUCCAAAAAAAAAAAAAAAAAAAGAGAAGGACAGCCACAAAUGUCGGCCAUUGGCAGGGCCUGGUUUCUCCCCUUUGCUCAGCCGCAGUGCUACUGUGGUGGGGCCAGAGUCCUUGCUGGUCAGUAGCAGGCCACAACUGUGCUUGCUGUGUGGGCCCCAGCGGGGGAGGCUGUCUCUCUGUCCCUACUUCCAACUUUCCGGGCACUGCGUGGUGAUUAUAUUUGAAGGAAAACCCUGAGCUCGAGUUAUCCGUAGCUUGAGUCUACAGUGAAGAGGUUAGAAGUUGUAGAUGAAAUGGUGUGACAGAGCCCAGCAUGCACCUCUUACCAGCACUGCGGGGACAGGGAAUGGGGGGCUGGGUCAGAGAAGGGGACCUCCAGAUAAGGGGUGGGGUCUUGUGAGGGACCAAGACAUUAAGAUGGGGAGCCAGACUCCUGCGAGGUCCAGCCGCAUGGCCUUGGUCGACUUAAUUAAUCUCUUGGUGCUUCCAUUUUCGCAUCCGGAAAACUGGGAGAAUAAUGUUAACUCUAUAGGGUGGUCAUGAGGUUCAUAUGAGUUAAUGUACAUAGAACGCUUAGUGUCUGUCAUGUGUUAAGCUCUUAAAUGCAUUGGCUAUUGUUAAUAUCUUUCUUAUUGAGCCUUGUCUCCUGGCUAAAGCUGACGCUCAAGGAACAGGUGUCUCCUCCAAGCCGGGACAACCAAAUCCUGUCUCCUGGAAAUGGGAAGCCGGAAGCCUGGGAGUCACCGGGUCAGGAGACUCUCAGCCGUUCAGACAGCACGCAGUCCUUGUGGAAAGACAGUGGGGUAAGACCUCUGAGCCGCCCCACCGCCCACAGGCACAGAGCGUGAUGGGCCGAGGAUGGAACCGGUUAAUGUAACCUGAAAGGCGUGAAAUGCGGCUCCACAGAGCUGUCCUCUCUUGCCUUGGUGGCUUCUCAAGACACACAACUGCUGUUACGCUGGCAAAGCUGGCCCUCAGCCUCUUCACUCGUCUCCACCAGGGGUUGGACCAGGUGGUCUUAAAGUUUCAGUAACUCUCCUCAAAAUUUUGUCACCUCCCAUGGAAUGGCACCAGCAUCAAAGCCUGACAAAGCUCCAA